rnacentral:rRNA from 1 species
CAGCAGCCACGGUAAUACGAAGGGUGCAAGCGUUACUCGGAAUUACUGGGCGUAAAGCGUGCGUAGGUGGUGGUUUAAGUCCGUUGUGAAAGCCCUGGGCUCAACCUGGGAAUUGCAGUGGAUACUGGAUCACUAGAGUGUGGUAGAGGAUAGUGGAAUUUCCGGUGUAGCAGUGAAAUGCGUGGAGAUCGGAAGGAACAUCUGUGGCGAAGGCGACUAUCUGGGCCAACACUGACACUGAGGCACGAAAGCGUGGGGAGCAAACAGGAUUAGAUACCCCUGUAGUCCCUGUCUCUUAUAC